CGGGCAGCUUCUUACUACUUCAUCCCUAAAGAAGUUUCUGCUAUACAUUCAAAAGAGUCUGUUUUAUUAAGUGCUGAUUACCAGUGAAUGCUGGAAUUCCUGAACAGCAUGCAUCUGAAGACUAAACCAAAAUAUCAGUAUCUUUGUAUACUUGCCACAAAAGAAGAGAAAUAUAAAUAGCAUUUCUUGAGGAUCUUCCAAUGCACCACUGUUGCUACUUUGUCAUGGGGUUGUUUGUAUCAGUCUGUGCAAUCUUCUUACAGCAGCUAACCAGGAAGAAAAUAGUGUGCUGUUCCUCUCACUAUUUACUAGUGGCCUAAUGCCUAGUGCAAGACCCAGUUUGGUUAGUGGUUAAGGCAUCAGGCUAGAAACCAGGUAGUGUGAGUUCUCAUCCUGCCUUAUGCAUGAAGAGAGUUGAGUAACCUUGGGCAGUAAUUUUCUUUUAGUCCUAUGAAAAAGGCAAUGGCAAACCACUUCUGAAAAACCUUGUCAAGAAAACUGCAGGGAUUUGCUCAGGCAAAUUUGAGACUCAGAUAUGAUUGAAUGAAAG